UUAUCUGCCCACGUGGGGGGCUCGGAGUCGGCACGGCCAGGAGGCUGGGCGCUGGAGCCCGUGCCCCCCCCCACCCCCCCGCACUUCCGGGGGGCGGGAGCACCGCCCUUAAGGUGGCUCUGUGAGGUCCCGGAGCUGGCGAAGGAAAGUGGGCUUAAGUUUGGGGACGGUCUUGAGAGUCGGUUCCCUAUGUUGAGAACGUUCGGAAGUUUGUCUCUUGUUCAAGUUCAGGGGUCCGCACGGCUGUGUGGCUGCGCCGCAGAAGCCAAGCUAUUUCAUUGCUGGAUACGGAUUUAGCUGAGUCCCCUGCACCCUACUUCACCCUCCCGGAACGUGUGGGAAAGCGUGCAGAGGAUUCAGCUUUGCUUCCCAGGGCGGUCUUUUUAGGGGUGGAAUUAGGGUGCAACUCAGCGUCUAGAUGGGAAUGAGCAUUCCGGAAAUCAGAAAUUCAGGGAACCGAGAGUUCGCCUGCGCCCGACUCCCGCCCCCGCGCAACGUGCGCACCUCCCCACCCCCAGCACACACUAUAGCACUCCUUCCGCCCUGAUUUGCCUCUGGGAAAACAAGCCGGAGAGCUGGGGGCAGUCUCCCAAAAUCACGCCGCGGAGAACUGGGUGUCUGGAAUAGAAGCGUGCUUAUAUCUCUCCACUCCCUGUCUGGUGGUGGGCCCAUAUUCUGUGCAGCCUCUAGGAAGCGCUAGACCCAUGUGUCUUUCACCAACCAGAGGCCAAGCAUCAAGAAGGCAGAAGAAAGUAUCUCUUGGUCUUCACUGAGUCUACAGCAUCUAGCAUGGCCCAGAGAGUGUGCUCAGUCAAUCUGGGUUAUUCAUCAGAGGUUUUGGUCAAGGAGAAGUACAGAACUGUACAUCACCCUUAUGGGCAUGCCUAGACUGCACUCAAAAUUUCCACAAAACUUUCAGGAUCAUAAAGUAGCCAGAGUCCUUCUGGGUGAUCUUCCAAGACCUGUCCUUCUCCCAGUGAAGGACCUCCUUUGGCAGCAUCUUGGCUACUUAAAUAUUGUAGCCACAGAGUGAGGACAUGAUGCCCAGAGAGCAGUAGUACUAAUCCUACUUAGUGCUGCUGGCUGGACACCUGCAGGAAUACUGUGGGUAUGAAACUUGGAGAGCAAUUUUGGCCAACCAUAGAGAUCUGAAGGUAGGAUGGCAACACCAUAAGAGACCUGAAACCAUGCUCCAUGGGAAAGAACGGAAAGAACUGGGAUUAUUCAGGUGGGCAUGGGGUAGGGAUGGUGGGGACAAGACAGAACAUAUAGGAGUCUCCAAAUAGGGGGAGUUGACUUUACUCUGUAGGCUUUGAGGUCAGAGCUAGAGUAAUGGUUAGACGUUAGAGAAGACAGCUGCUAUAUUUAAGGAAGAACUUUGUGAAAUUAGUUAUUUAUCAAUAGGACAAUUACUUUAACUGUAGAAUUGAAGUCCCUCCACUCAACACAUAUUUAUUGUUUUCUAUGUUCCAGACACUCUGUAAGGUUAGUUUAUGAUAAUUCCUCGCAAGCACAUAGUACUUGUGGUAUUCAUCACUUAUUUUCACAGUUCAUAAAAGCCAUCUUAAGUAGUCUCAUUUAGAAUUUGGAGUUUGUCUCCAACAUUAGUGGUUUCUCAAUUCUAGAGUUACACAUUUUUACUCACAAAAUUUGUAAACUGCAUUGAUGUUUUCUCAUGUCCAAUGUUAGUUAUAUGGACAUUCUUCUAUCAAAACAAGUGUUUUCAGUAUCAUAAAUCAAAAUUACCUAGACUUUA